UACGGAGGGGGCUAGCGUUGUUCGGAAUUACUGGGCGUAAAGCGCACGUAGGCGGACUUGAAAGUCAGAGGUGAAAUCCCAGGGCUCAACCUUGGAACUGCCUUUGAAACUUCUGGUCUUGAGGUCGAGAGAGGUGAGUGGAAUUCCGAGUGUAGAGGUGAAAUUCGUAGAUAUUCGGAGGAACACCAGUGGCGAAGGCGGCUCACUGGCUCGAUACUGACGCUGAGGUGCGAAAGCGUGGGGAGCAAACAGG
rnacentral:rRNA from 1 species